GUGACUAAUAAAUCAUCCUAUGAAUGCUGGGAUCUGGUCAAUCAGAUCAGCCCUUCUUCCUCUGCUUACUCAACACUGAAGAUGUGUAUAAUGCGAGACAUCUGUCCUCUUUCCAUCUGGGGGCCGAAAAGGCCUGGGCUCGGGCAGAACACAGAGUAUCAAGAGCAGGAACAGAUGCUCGCCCCCACUGCCCACCUUCAGAUGCCCAACUAACAUAUGUCAGUGUAAAUGAAGGGUUAAAAGGAAUCAACACGUGGCCAGACGUCUGACCUGUUAAACUGACAGCCAACUUCACACAGCAGCUCCACGAUGAAAGACACUCAAUAAAUAUUUGAAGUAAUUAAUGAAUUACUUAGUCAUGCUAAAAGACUUUGACCUAGCCUCUUUAGUUCCCACCAGUUGUCCUCCAGAUGAUAACACCAGCGAUCACUGUAAGCCACAGCACUGACCCCACCCCUCCACCACGUGUACCUGCCAUCCAUGGCUCCCUAUAGCACAUAUGGGACACAGUGAGAGGUGUUCAGGGCCACCCUCAGGGAGACCAUGCACCAGAACCCCAGCCACCUCCUCCCUGCCUCUAGCUUCCUCUCACACAGUCCCAUUCACACUCUGGGUUCCAACCAGAGUGAACAACAGCAGUGCCCCAGGCUGGUACUUGUACCUGUAUCCCUUCAGUUGCUG
rnacentral:lncRNA from 1 species